GAUAUUAAGUUGGUGCAAAAGUAAUUGUGGUUUUUGCCAUUAAAAGUAACUGCAAAACCACAGUUAUUUUUAUACCAACCUAAAUAA
rnacentral:miRNA from 1 species